AUCAUCAAAUCUUUGAACGCAUAUUGCGCUCUUUGGUAUUCCGAAGAGCAUGCUUGUUUGAGUAUCAGUAAACACCUCAAAGCCUUUUUUUGUUAAAAAGGAUUUGGACUUGGGCAAUCCCAACAUUUUUUAAGUAAAGUGGCGGGUUGCUUGAAAUGCAGGUGCAGCUGGACAUUCUCCUGAGCUAAAAGCAUAUUCAUUUAGUCCCGUCAAACGGAUUAUUACUUUUGCUGCAGCUAAUAUAAAGGGAGUUUGACCAUUUUGGCUGACUGAUGCAGGAUUUUCACAAGAGUACUUCAAAACCACUCUUGUUAAACUCGAUCUCAAAUCAAGUAAGACUACCCGCUGAACUUAA
rnacentral:sRNA from 1 species